AGAGAGAGAGAGAGAGAGAAGGAAGGGAAGGAUUACGAGCGAACUUCGUGUUGAUAUAUAGAGAAAACAGAGCAAGUAGAGUACGCCUCUCUGUGCGUUUCAAAAAACAAAGAGGAGGCGUUUGACCUUGUUAAAUUACGGAAAAAUCCUUAAACAUUUUCACAAUGUAUUUAACAAAUGAUAUCAUGUUUUUGGUAAAUAAGAAGGUAGAGCAGGGUUAUAAUCGACACAACGGAGGUUUGAUAUAGACUGCCACCGACCUUAGAAGAAAGCCACAAAGUUGCUGAUUGGAUACCUCCACUUUCUUUACAGAAUUGAGUAUCUGCUUUUCGCUCUCUUUAGACUGGGCGAUACCUAACUUUGUACAGUGGAACACAGCAAAGCCCCACGUUGCAACCACAAUUCAAUUAUUUUACUUCCCUUUAUUCGUAUGGCCUUUGCUUCUUUGCUAAUUAAAUCACUUCACUUUACUAAUCCUUGAUUUUUCAUAUGGGGUUUGCUUCCUUGCUGAUUAAGGUCUCAAUGAAGUGAGGAGCCUUAUGCUCUGCUCGCUGACAAAUACAAUGUUGCAUUUGCAAAAAGAAAAGAAUUUGUACGCAUCUGGAAUCAGCAAGCAAUAAUGACACACAAGCACAACCCCACAUCCCCUUUUGAUAUAAUUUUAUAAUAAGAAUGCCUCGAUUUGUAGCUCUAAGUUUAUGAAAAUUCCAACCAACAUAACUUUUCUCAUAUUUUGGUUAACCAGAAAAUUUUAGGUGCAUUUCAUCUAUCAGUCUCAUUACAAUUCUACUCGCUUAAUUUACAGAUGACAUCAUGAUAGACCAGGUUUGUUUACUUGAGAUUUUAUUCCGGUUGAUCCGUUUUUUUACUUGAGAUUUUAUUCUGGUUGAUCCGUUUUUCAAAUUCAUACAAGAUUAUGAGGAAGCUGCUAUAUGACUAAUACAUUUAUUUUUACAUAUCCAAGCAUUAUAAUUUAUAAACAACUUACCAGACUUCCAACUGCAAUAUUACCCGAGACAAUUCUAUUUUGGAAACAAUAUAAAGGCAGGAAAAACAACACUGUUAAGAAGAUCCACCAACGAAUGUGUCAAAAGAGGAUAGCACAAACAAAAUUCCACUGAUGAAAAUUUCUUGGCAGAACUGACAAACAGGCUAUCCACAAUCUUGCCCAUGUUGGAAAUGGUUUCUAAAGUUGCAGGGUAGAUUGCAUCUGUCUUCUGAUCUUCAAAUAUGAUGAGGCACCCAGCACCCUGAUCCAAUGUCCCAGCAAACUUCUUGUCCAGAAUCAUCUGUGACAGCUUCUUUUCCGGAUGAUCAAUUGAUAAUUCAAUCAGUUCAGCUAUAUGGGCAAUCUCAACCCUUGAGAAAGGCUCAAUCAAUCUGCACAGAUUUUGUUGAGAGAUGCCUGAGGACAAUUGGGUCUUCCUCCAGCUGGGCCUUAUAAUUGCGCAGGGGCAAUCUCAAACGACUUCAAAGAUCGCUUGGAGUGAGCAUCAGCCACGGAUUUAAUAGCAUCCAAAUCUGGCCCCAUGUGCUGGAGACCUGCCUUUGAAGAAAUUAUCCCAGUCACAUCAUCAGCUUGAUUCACCAUGAUUUUGCAUAGUAGCAUGUAUUUAAGACUGAGAACUGCCCUUGGGCCUUCAAGAGCAUUGAAGGACUUAAAUGCUUCAAAGAAAUAGCUGUAAGCAGUUUUAUAAUCCUUCUCUUCGGCGUGAAGAAUCCCACUCUGCAAAUCAAUUGUGCCUUGUUGAGCUGGGGGUACAUAUAUAGCAUUUGCAGCUGUCCUGGCAGCUGUAAGAGCAGCUUUUGCCUUGGGAAGGUUCCUCAAGGAAAAAUGUAGCUUACUCUCUAGUAAGUCGUUUGUCAUCUAACCUCCUCACCUCUUUCACCAAGUUGGUAAGAAGAGUCCAUGCUUCUCAAUAUUCCUUAUUUUCCAUCAAAAGAGCUGUAAGCCUUGCCUCAACUCGCUGCCUAAGGAAUGUACGCUUUUCUGCUCGGGUCCAUUCUACCAUUUCCUUGAAAGCAAUUUGGGGAUCAGAUGUACCAGGUAUUCGAGCUGCAGAAUCAAUUAUUCCCCUGACAAUUUUGGCAGUUUUAGCCUUGGGAAUUAGGGCAAAGAAUGGUCUCAUAUGAGUAAGAUGCCCAUAAAGAUCUUCAGCCCUGUUCCCUUGUCUAAGAAGGUCAGAAAGGUUUGUAAUAGACUGUUCUUUUAUCCUCAAUGCUUCUGGAGAAGAAGAAGGGUUUUCAAGUAUCUGGUAAAGAAUGGAAAUGCGCUCAGAUGGAUCUUUAGCUUCUAAAGCCAGAGAAAUGGAGUCUGUUGUUGCAGGAAGAUAUGAAGAAGACAUGGCCACUGCUGGAAGAAUUCAAGUCCAGCUCUAGAGACCAGAAUCUGCCUCCAAGAAUCCAAACUUCGAAUCCUACAGUUUGAGGCUUGGCCUCCAUCACUAUAGUCUAUGAGUAGUGGCCUCAUUACAUAUACCAAGAAGUAACUCGUUUAAAUAUAUAAGUAAUUUGUUCACUUCCAAGAAAUAAACCCAUUAGACAAAAGCGAAAUCUUGAUAAAAAAAUUCAAUUCUUAAUAUUCAAUGAAAGAAAGAGCACAGUAUUAACAACAAUGAUGAAGAUAUGAGAAGACUGUCACGGUGACUACUGCUGAAGAACCAAUUUCAAGAUAGAAGCAUAAACUCCAUAAUGCAAUU
rnacentral:misc_RNA from 1 species